rnacentral:rRNA from 1 species
CCAAUAGCGUAUAUUAAAGUUGUUGCAGUUAAGAAGCUCGUAGUUGAAUUUCGGGAUUGACACAUCGGUCGUGCCUUAAGGGGUAUGAACUGGUGUAGUCAAUUUCUCACCUUCUGGAGAACCGCGAUGCCCUUAAUUGGGUGUCGCGGGGAACCAGGACCUUUACUUUGAAAAAAUUAGAGUGUUUAAAGCAGGCAUUUUGCUUGAAUACAUUAGCAUGGAAUAAUAAAAUAGGACGGCAUGAUUCUAUUUUGUUGGUUUCUAGGAUCACCGUAAUGAUUAAUAGGGAUAGUUGGGGGCAUUAGUAUUCAAUUGUCAGAGGUGAAAUUCUUGGAUUUAUUGAAGACUAACUACUGCGAAAGCAUUUGCCAAGGAUGUUUUCAUUAAUCAAGAACGAAAGUUAGGGGAUCGAAGACGAUCAGAUACCGUCGUAGUCUUAACCAUAAACUAUGCCGACUAGGAAUCAGACGAUGUUAAUUUUUUAAUGACUCGUUUGGCACCUUACG